rnacentral:rRNA from 1 species
CAAGUCGAGCGAUGAAACUACUUCGGUAGUGAAUUAGCGGCGAACGGGUGAGGAACACGUGAGGAAUCUGCCUUCAACACUGGGAUAACUCCGGGAAACCGGGGCUAAUACCGGAUACGAGCCUUGAUCGCAUGAUCGAGGCUGGAAAGUUUUUCGGUUGAAGAUGACCUCGCGGCCUAUCAGCUUGCUGGUGAGGUAAUGGCUCACCAAGGCGACGACGGGUAGCCGGCCUGAGAGGGCGACCGGCCACACUGGGACUGAGACACGGCCCAGACUCCUACGGGAGGCAGCAGUGGGGAAUAUUGGGCAAUGGAGGAAACUCUGACCCAGCGACGCCGCGUGCGGGAUGAAGGCCUUCGGGUUGUAAACCGCUUUCAGUAGGGAAGAAGCGAAAGUGACGGUACCUACAGAAGAAGCACCGGCUAACUAUGUGCCAGCAGCCGCGGUAAUACAUAGGGUGCAAGCGUUGUCCGGAAUUAUUGGGCGUAAAGAGCUCGUAGGUGGUUUGAUACGUCGGGUGUGAAAUUCAGGGGCUCAACCCCUGACCUGCAUUCGAUACGGUCAAGCUAGAGUUUGGUAGGGGAGACUGGAAUUCCUGGUGUAGCGGUGGAAUGCGCAGAUAUCAGGAGGAACACCGAUGGCGAAGGCAGGUCUCUGGGCCAAUACUGACACUGAGGAGCGAAAGCGUGGGGAGCGAACAGGAUUAGAUACCCUGGUAGUCCACGCCGUAAACGGUGGGCGCUAGUUGUGCGAACCUUCCACGGUUUGUGCGACGCAGCUAACGCAUUAAGCGCCCCGCCUGGGGAGUACGAUCGCAAGAUUAAAACUCAAAGGAAUUGACGGG